UUAAACGACUAUAUAUUAUAUGCAGCCCAAGACCGGUUACUCACUGGAGCUGAGCAGGGCUGAGCCUGGUAAGUAGCUGGAUGGGAGACCACAUGGGACAACUGGGUAUUUGUUCGAA
rnacentral:rRNA from 1 species